rnacentral:rRNA from 1 species
UACGUAGGGUGCGAGCGUUGUCCGGAAUCAUUGGGCGUAAAGCGCGUGUAGGCGGCCCGAUAAGUCCGCUGUGAAAGUCCAGGGCUCAACCCUGGGAUGCCGGUGGAUACUGUCGGGCUCGAGUCCGGAAGAGGCGAGUGGAAUUCCUGGUGUAGCGGUGAAAUGCGCAGAUAUCAGGAAGAACACCAAUGGCGAAGGCAGCUCUCUGGGACGGUACUGACGCUGAGACGCGAAAGCGUGGGGAGCGAACAGG